GACGAACGCUGGCGGCGUGCUUAACACAUGCAAGUCGAACGGAAAGGCCCUGCUUGCAGGGUACUCGAGUGGCGAACGGGUGAGUAACACGUGGGUGAUCUGCCCUGCACUUCGGGAUAAGCCUGGGAAACUGGGUCUAAUACCGGAUAGGAGCCAUUUUUCGUGUGAUGGUUGGAAAGUUUUUUCGGUGUAGGAUGAGCUCGCGGCCUAUCAGCUUGUUGGUGGGGUAAUGGCCUACCAAGGCGGCGACGGGUAGCCGGCCUGAGAGGGUGGACGGCCACAUUGGGACCGAGAUACGGCCCAGACUCCUACGGGAGGCAGCAGUGGGGAAUAUUGCACAAUGGGCGCAAGCCUGAUGCAGCGACGCCGCGUGGGGGAUGACGGCCUUCGGGUUGUAAACGCCUUUCGCUAGGGACGAAGCUUUUUGUGACGGUACCUAGAUAAGAAGCACCGGCUAACUACGUG
rnacentral:rRNA from 1 species